GCACUGCUGAGGAGUCCCACAAUAAAACUAAACGGCCUUCCAGUGC
rnacentral:hammerhead_ribozyme from 1 species